GUUUUAUUUAAAAACACCUCACCAAGGUAAAAAAAUAAUGGGGGUUUAGUUACAUUAUAUGAUCAUACAUUGCAUAAGCCUGCCACAACGUCAAUGUACCCCAUUCUUGGCAGGUCCUACUCUAACAGCCAACUGUCUGCCUUUAUGAGAUUAAUUAAUUGACUUGGGAAAUACUUCCUCCUUUGCUGAAAACAUUGAGCCUUCAUAGGAAACAUUUUAUUAUAUUUAACUUUUUCAUAUAUUUUAGUGCGUAAAAUAAAACUAGUGACAGAUUCACCAUGGAGUGUCCUUUUUAAGAGGGGAACGAUAACUUAGAAAUCAAGCAGGUACUUGUUCUCCUGAACUGUGUAUUUUUUUAAAUUUGCCAGAUUAGUAAUGUUACCUUUGAGACGGUGUGGUAGCCCAGGAAUGAGAAUUACCCCCAUGAUGGCAUACCA